rnacentral:rRNA from 2 species
AAUCCAUAGGUUAAUGAGGCGAACCGGGGGAACUGAAACAUCUAAGUACCCCGAGGAAAAGAAAUCAACCGAGAUUCCCCCAGUAGCGGCGAGCGAACGGGGAGGAGCCCAGAGCCUGAAUCAGCAUGUGUGUUAGUGGAAGCGUCUGGAAAGGCGCGCGAUACAGGGUGACAGCCCCGUACACAAAAGCGCAUGUGCUGUGAGCUCGAUGAGUAGGGCGGGACACGUGGUAUCCUGUCUGAAUAUGGGGGGACCAUCCUCCAAGGCUAAAUACUCCUGACUGACCGAUAGUGAACCAGUACCGUGAGGGAAAGGCGAAAAGAACCCCGGCGAGGGGAGUGAAAAAGAACCUGAAACCGUGUACGUACAAGCAGUGGGAGCACAGGUUUACCUGUGUGACUGCGUACCUUUUGUAUAAUGGGUCAGCGACUUAUAUUCUGUAGCAAGGUUAACCGAAUAGGGGAGCCGGAGGGAAACCGAGUCUUAAUUGGGCGUUAAGUUGCAGGGUAUAGACCCGAAACCCGGUGAUCUAGCCAUGGGCAGGUUGAAGGUUGGGUAACACUAACUGGAGGACCGAACCGACUAAUGUUGAAAAAUUAGCGGAUGACCUGUGGCUGGGGGUGAAAGGCCAAUCAAACCGGGAGAUAGCUGGUUCUCCCCGAAAGCUAUUUAGGUAGCGCCUCGUGAAUUCAUCUCCGGGGGUAGAGCACUGUUUCGGCUAGGGGGCCAUCCCGGCUUACCAACCCGAUGCAAACUGCGAAUACCGGAGAAUGUUAUCACGGGAGACACACGGCGGGUGCUAACGUCCGUCGUGAAGAGGGAAACAACCCAGACCGCCAGCUAAGGUCCCAAAGUCAUGGUUAAGUGGGAAACGAUGUGGGAAGGCCCAGACAGCCAGGAUGUUGGCUUAGAAGCAGCCAUCAUUUAAAGAAAGCGUAAUAGCUCACUGGUCGAGUCGGCCUGCGCGGAAGAUGUAACGGGGCUAAACCAUGCACCGAA